rnacentral:rRNA from 1 species
UAACGAAUCUUCCGCAAUGCGCGAAAGCGUGACGGGGCAAUGCCGCGUGCAGGAUGAAGCCCUUCGGGGUGUAAACUGCUGUCAGGGUUUACCAACACAAUGAGGCGACCCAAAGGAAGCACCGGCUAACUCUGUGCCAGCAGCCGCGGUAAUACAGAGGGUGCGAGCGUUAAUCGGAAUCACUGGGCUUAAAGCGUGCGUAGGCGGACUUGCAGGCAUGUUGUGAAAUCCCAUGGCUCAACCAUGGAAUUGCUUCGUGAACCGCAAGUCUUGAGGCUGGUAGAGGCGGUCGGAACGCUAGGUGGAGCGGUGAAAUGCGUAGAUAUCUAGCGGAACGCCAAAGGUGAAGACAGGCCGCUGGGCCAGACCUGACGCUGAGGCACGAAAGCGUGGGGAGCAAAACGGGAUUAGAUACCCCGGUAGUCCACGCCCUAAACGAUGCGCACUAGAUCGAGGAGGAUGACACCCC